rnacentral:lncRNA from 1 species
UGAAUUGGAGCUGUAGCCACCAGCCUACGCCAGAGCCACAGCAACGCAGGAUCUAAGCUGCGUCUGCGACCUGCUGCACACAGCUCAUGGCAACACCGGAUCCUUAACGCACUGAGCAAGGCCAGUGAUCCAACCUGCAUCCUCGUGGAUGCAAGUCAGAUUCGUUAACCCCUGAGCCAUGACAGGCACUCUCCAAAUGCAGGAUCUUAAUUAUCAUUGGUGAUUGUUUGUUUCAAACAUGGCAAUUGUUAUAAAUGCAAAUACAGCGGCAUAGGAAGUAAAGUCAGAGGGUCAUUUCCCUACUUCCGGCACUUCUGCCCCUCCUGCCAUGAUGGACACUCUGAACACUUUAUCACGUUGGUGGUGUCUUUUCGGACAUUUUCACAGGCCUCCCACCUGCAUGGGUCUCAUCCCUGGGCACUCGUCCAGGCCCACUCCCUCCUCCUCCUCCUCCCUCCCUGCUUCUGCAUGGCCACCGGGAUAUUUAUUCUCUGGCUGGCUGCCUCUCUGCAGGGUCAGCUGCUGGCUGCGGUCCUGGGCUGUGCUGUAGGGCACCUUCCCCUCUCAGAUUCCCAUGACUGCCUCCUUCUCACCCUUCAUCUUCGGGGAUGGCUGCUGGCCCCUGCCUGCUUCGUCGUCCCUUAAACCCCGUAAAGAACCCCUUUUAUUGUGCAAUCCUCAGAUCAUCCCAUCUCAGGUUUCGGAGGGCCUUGGCUGAUAAUAAUAUAUUGCUUUGUAAUCUACAAGGAUAUGUGUGUAUAUGUGUGUGAAUGUAGAAUGUAGUAUCAUAAAUAUAUAUAUAUUUACAUAUAUGUAGUUAUAUGCAUAAACCUCCUUUUUAAGAUGAGCAUGGUAUUCUGCAGUGUUCCACUGAGUGGAUAUGCAUUAUUUAUGUAACCAGCCCCUCUACUGAUAAAGCUUUAAGAUUGUGUUCAGGAGUUCCCGUUGUGGCUCAGUGGGUAAUAAACCCGACUAGUAUCCAUGAGGACACGGGUUUGAUCCCUGGCCCUGCUCAGUGGGUUAAGGAUCCAGUGUUGCCGUGAGCUAUGGUGUAGGUCGCAGACGAAGCUCAGAUCUCACGAUGCUGUGACUGUGGUGUAGGCCGGCAGCUACAACUCCGGUUCAACCCCUAGCCUGGGAACCUCCAUAUGCUGUGGGUGAGGCCCUAAAAAGACAAAGGGGAAAAAAAAAUUGUAUUCAGUUUUUCCUUUUGAUAUCGUGGCAUUCACAAAUACGGCUUCUUCCAGGAGCCUGAAAGCAUGGCCUAAGGCAGUGGAAGUGAGCUGCGAGAUCCUGGGCCAGACGCUUCCCUUCCCCCUUCCCGAUGCCUCGGUUUCGCCGUCUGUCUAAUGGGAACAGCGUGCUGUAUAGAUCACCCUGGAGGCACGGAAUGGCCUGUGAUUUUGCUAAGGCCUCAUCUUUGACCAACUGCUGCUGGGAGGCUGGAGUUCAGGCAGGGGUCAGCUGGCCAUCAGGGGAGGCAGUGGAUGGAGGGUGUCCCCACUUUAACACGGCGUCGUGGUUGCAAACCCUGGGAGGCACCUGCCCAGCACACUCAGGAACAGCCGAAAUAAUAAUUCCUGGAGGAAGCCCUGAAGAGCAAACCACUGUGACUGCUAGAAUUGAGACAAAGGGAAAACGAAGAUUCAGAUUCAGCACUGAUUUUAUUUAUUUAUUUAUUUAAGCUUUUUAGCUCAGGCAUAGGGAGGUUCCCAGGCUAGGCGUCUGAUUGGACUACAGCUGCCGGCCUACACCAGCCACAGCAGCACAGGAUCCAAGCUGCGUCUGGGACCUACACCACAGCUCACAGCAAUGCCAGAUCCUUGACUCACUAAGUGAGGCCAGGGAUUGAACCUGUAUCCUCAUGGAUGCUAGUCAGGUUCCUUACCACUGAGCCACAGUGGGAUCUUCCUGAUUCUUCGUUACAGUGAAGUGUCCUGGGAGAAACGACGUGUUCCAGGGUCGUUGGGGGAGCUUCGAAUAGGAAAUGAGUGAUUGAGGAGAGGGUGUUCAGGGCUGCAAGGCUCGAUGCCUCAGCCCCUCUUCAAGGCUGUGGGAUGCCCCGCCCCCGAGAACUGGACCUCGCGGCCACUGGUCCUUCCCUCCCCAAGACCCUGAGGCUGCAGCUCCAGGAGCAUCUCCCAGCUGCCCCUCCAGGGCGCCCUCACCCCAGCACUGGAGGCCAGCGAGGGUCCAGGAGAGGUUCACUGGGGCAGCGAACAGUGGCCCCAGGAAAUCCCAAGCGCGUCUGGGUUGGGCGGACGGAGCCCGAAGCCACCACGGCCCGGCCAGCAGGUGUCACUGCCGCCCCAGCGGAGUGCCGGGGCACAGGGUUUGCCUCUAAAAUGACAGAGUUAGAAUGAUGUCCCCUCAUCCCCAACUCCCCCUCCCCACCACAAUUUCCACCUAAGAAAGGGAGCGAAAGCCCCUCCCUUCCCUGUCCCCCCAAAGCUGGUAAUGUGCAGGCGGAAGAGUUCACGCCACCGGCUGAGCUGUGCCCUCCUUCUCUGGCCUGGUCAGGGCAUGUGAUAGCACUCAGGAGCUGGAUCCCCAGAGCACCACUGCCGGCUGUGCCCUGGGAACCCUUGCUGCAGGAUGCAUGGAGGGAGGGGCAAGGGGCUCCCCUUGACUUGAUAAUCCAGCCGGUGGCUGGGAUAAGUUGAAGGGGAAUUUGCAAGUGUUAACAGAGAGAGGCCCAGCCUAGGUCUGGGGAGCUGAGUCCAACCCCUUCCCAGCCUGGUUUUCUUUACUCCAGAGGCUGUACGGAGGGUCUUGCUCAGGUUUUCAGUCACUCUUCUGAGUAUUAGGAGGAAAGGAAGCAGCUCACUUGGAUGGGGUUAUACGGUGACCACCUGUCCCAUUUCCCAGCACUCGAGCGGUUCCUAAGAUGCAAGACUUCGGUGCUAAACCACAGAAAACCCAGGGCAGCAGGAACACCUUGGUCAUCCUAACUGGGUCCUGACCACUUUUCAGGCAUUAUUUCUUUUCUUUUUUCUUUUUCUUUUUUGUCUUUUUGCCUUUUCUAGGGCCGCUUCCCUCGGCACAUGGAGGUUCCCAGGCUAGGGGUCUAAUCGGAGCUGUAGCCGCCGGCCUACGCCACAGCCACAGCAACGAGGGAUCCGAGCCACGUCUGAGACCACAGCUCACGGCAAUACCAGGUCCUUAACCCACUGAGCAAGGCCAGGGAGCGAACCCCCUGGCCUCAUGGUUCCUAGUCGGAUGCGUUAACCACUGAGCCACGAUGAGAACUCCGGGGCAUUAUUUCUUUUAUUCCACAUCGGUGGUCAUAUUUUCAUCCUCAUCCUACAGAAGAAGAAACUGAGGGUCAAAGAGGCCAUAGAAACUGUCCAAAGCCUCAGAGGGGAAAGGAAGAGCUGACGUUUGAAUGCAGGUCCAUUUGAUGUGCAUUUUUCCGGUCCUCCCCACCACCCCCCUUCCUGGUCCCCUGAUGCCUCUGAGGUUUUGAGCUGAGAAGCGGCUCUCACUGGCCAAUCUGUGAGGCCCAGACGGUAGGCAGCUGUGGGUCGUGGGCACAGAUAAUUACAGCGUGUGCUGUGUGGUUGCCUGAGCUGUGGCAGCAGCCUGGGAGCUCCUCAAGGGCUUGGGGUCCUGGGGGAAGCAGCUUGUUGGAAACCGGAGGGAGAGGGGACUUUGUGGAUCUGAUGGUCAGGGCACAGGCAGCGGAAAAGCACAUGGUGGACCGAGCCAUGGGGGGCAUGUUUGAGUUGACAGGGCUUGACUGCUCCAGUUGGAAAGGGCCAGCAUCAAAAGGCCUUGGUGACUUCAUCUAUUUUCCCCAGAGUCCAGGCAUUUUUCUGGAGUAUCUUCUAAAAGGCCCAGGCCUGGUGAUCUCAGGCCCCUGGAGUGGGCCAACAGGGAUGAGUGUUUAUCCUGAGCUGGCAAGGGGUGGGGAGGGAAGGAAGGAGCAGAUGCUGAUAGAGGCCCACUGUGGUCUCCCUUGCUGGCUGGGCAGGUGGGGGCAGCAUCGGCCACCCUCAUGGCUUGUCAUGAAAUGCUAUCAGGUUGGAAAAACAUUCAACCUGAGCAUGAAAACCCAAAUGAAAUGAUUCACCUGGUCCUACCUUCGUCUGGUAGAACCAACUCUUGUUGUCCACUCACCCCAUCUCCCUCUGCUGGCUGCCUUUGUGCAGUGCACAAACUGCACAACUGUACAUGGCAGUCCAGCUACAGAAGCCUGUUUAUAUCAGAGACUGAGGAUUUACCAGAAAGGAGGAGAGUUCUAGGCAUGAGUGGGCAGAGGAGUAAAACUGGAAAUGUCUGAGACCUGGCAAUGCCCUCCCCACCUGGACCCUCUGUGUGUGGAGUGGUCAACUCUGCCUGGCAAGUACCCAGGAUAAGUUAUUCAGGAAGACAAGGAGCAGAAAGGGCCUCCUGGACGAAGGAAUGAGACGUGCAAAUGCACAGAGGCAUAAAAUAUCCAGGCUUCCUGGAGAGUAGGGAACAAGGUGGAGACAGUGGGGGACAGUGGGGGACAGGUGGGCAGGGGCCAGAAGGCAGGGGCCUGGGCUUCUUGUUCUGCGGCCAGGACGGAAUGAGCCAGGCUGGAGAGAAGAGGGCGGCAGGAGAAGGCCAGGCGGAGGGGUAGCCCUUCUGCUUGCGGGCUCCCCAGAGAUCUCCUUCAGUGUGCUGAGCUCUGUCUUCUGCCUACCGAGCCUGUUCCUACUGGGGGUCAUGGAAGUAGAAGUUGGAAGCUUUCCUCUCAAGCUGAAAUGCCAGGUCUGCAGAAGAAAAUCUUGACUCCACCUGUUGCCUUACAAGGGACAGAGGGUACAGUGGGGGUUCAGAGUGAGUCCGUCCCCAUGGUUGGGUGAUCUGAAAGGACUUCUCAGAGCUGCCUAGACCUGCCUGGGGGCAUGGCCUCCCCCUGCCUUGGGCACCGGGGGAGCCACACUCCCCUCCCCUGGGCUCUGCCACCUGCAAACUGGCCCAGCGUCUCCCACCCAGCCAGUGGCUGGGGCAUAAACUGCCCGGAUGGCGUGAUUAUUUUUUCUUCCUCCUGGUGGGUGGCAGCAUCUUAGGGACCAACUCCCGCCUCUUGCCCACAUGUGCAUAUGUGCCAGAGAGGGUGGACCUAGGUUUGCUUUUACUGAGCCAAAGCAUUUUGCUAUUUUCUUUUUCUCUGAAGUUCUGGUUUCUCUUUUUUGAAAGGCUCGGGGAGGGGGCUGGAAAGGACUCACUCGACCCAUGUUGAUCUGGAAAGACUGAAAUUGUGCGGACAAUGGCUCGUGGGCCAGGCUGGCCAUGUCCCAGGGCGAAGCCCCAUGCUGGGCUGUCCUAACAAGAACUUGAUCUGAACCGAACCAUGACCCCCAAAUUGGAAAAACACUGCCCUGAUUCACCGAACCCCAAACCGAAUCCAAAUAUUAUUAUUUUUCGACUGAACUCUGAAUUGAACUGAUUUUUUUUUCUUAAAUACCGACCAAGCCAGUUGGAACUAGACACAAACAUAUGUGUUUUCUGAAACUAUUGAACCUGAACUUCAAAAUAAUCUCCUAUCCGAGCGCAAAGUGAGACUUUAUUGGCUUGAGAAUGUCCCACUCACAGCAGGCCAGUAAAGCUUCCUUUAUGGCAGGAGUAGCUUUCUUCAUCCCCUUUCGCGUCUCAUCUUUAAAAAUUGAGGGAUGAUUUACAUGUAGUGGAAUGCACAGACCUUAAAUAUACUUUGAUCAAUGUUGACAAAUGCACGUACUCAAGGAACACCCCCUGCCUGUCAAGAUAUAGGGCAUUUGUGGAGUUCCCAUCGGAUCGAACCUGCAUCCUCAUGGACACUAGUUGGGUUCUUAACCCACUGAGUGCAAUGGGAACUCCCCACUUUUGUUUCUUUUUUUUUUUUUUUUUUUUUUUUUUUUCUGUCUUUUUGCUAUUUCUUGGGCCGCUCCCGCGGCAUAUGGAGUUUCCCAGGCUAGGGGUCGAAUCGGAGCUGUAGCUGCCAGCCUAUGCCAGAGCCACAGCAACUCGGGAUCCAAGCUGCGUCUGCAACCUACACCACAGCUCACGGCAACGCCGGAUCGUUAACCCACUGAGCAAGGGCAGGGACCGAACCCGCAACCUCAUGGUUCCUAGUCGGAUUCGUUAACCACUGUGCCACAACGGGAACUCCUGUUUCGUGUUUGAGCCUUAUGAACACCCCUCCUCUUGCACCCUGGAAAGAAGGAGGCUAGUAUGAUAAUACCCAUCUUAUUUAUGGAGGAGAGAACUCAGGAUGGGAGAAUCACCAAUAACUUCCUUGAACCCAUACAACUAGGUGGUGGCAGGGUUAGAAUGACCCAGCUUUCUGGUCUCCCAGCCAAGUGCUUCCUCUUGCCAUCUCAAGCCCUCUGCUGAACAAUGAAUUGAAUGCCUCCUCGGGCUUCCUUUGGGAUUGUACCCACCUCUGGCUUCACGGCUGGAUGGGAUUUGCUCAGCUCACAAGCAGGGUGGUUUCCCCUCUUUGUAAAGACCUCUUGGUGGAGAGGUCCUGGCACGUCUGGGUCCUGGACUGGGCUGCCCCUGCAGGCCCGCCCUUCUCCUGGGGCCUCUGUGCACCCCUGCGGCGGCAGCCUGCACUGGGGCGCCUGUCCCCUGUCUCCAGCCUGCCUGUGUGUGGCUGUCUGUCGGUGUCUCUGGCUGCCUGCGUGUAGACAAACUGCGUCUGACCCCCGGGGAGCAGCGUCUGUCUCCCUGGGCAGCCCAGCUAGAGAACAUUGACCAGGUUCCCAAGCUGGUUUUCCUGGGGAAACAUUUUCCAGAGCCUACAACAAUGUUGCAUUUGAUUUGAUUUUUCUCCCCCCACCCUUUGCAGGCGAUUGUGUGGUUUGGGGUGUUUUGCUCCUAGUUAUAAUCCAAUAAAGAGCAGCUGCUGAGAUUUUUCCAAGAGUGCCGCUUUCAACCGCCCUCGUUGAAAAUGCUCUAAUUUAUUUCAGUCCGCUUGUGGGAAAACCAGCCUCAGCUGAAAACAAAGGCGUCCUAUGCUGAUGUAAUUGCCACCCCCCCCCCCCCCCCCCCCCCCCCCGCCCCGCCCCGAGGCUCUCCUCAGGGCUCGGGGCCUGCGGGUGCUCACUGCGGCAGCCCGAGGAAGUAGCAUCCUUUCUAGAGGGCGGAAGUUAUCUCGAGCAACCUCGUUCCCUUCCCAACCUCUCCCGGGGAUGCAGGAGUCCCAAAGGCUCCUGGGGGUCGGGAGCCAAGAUGAUCCUCAUGGUUUGUCCAUUUCCUGUGAUUCGCAGAGGUCAGUCUGUUGGCCCCUCACAUCGUCAAGUGAAUGAAUCUGCUCGUUUUCUUUCUGUUCAAUAACUAGUUGAAUCCUGCCCAUUGAGGGGACAGAAGUUUGGGUGACAAGACUGAUGAAGAGAAAGGGAAUUUGGGGGCGUUCUUGUGGUUCAGUGGUAAAGAACCCGAUUAGUAUCCAUGAGGGUGCGGGUUCUA